AGUCUGCCUUGAAGAUCGGAGUGCUUGCACUCUGUGAAACAAGAUACAGGCUAGCGGCGGACGGGUGAGUAACACGUGGGUAACCUGCCCAAGAGAUCGGGAUAACACCUGGAAACAGAUGCUAAUACCGGAUAACAACAGAUGAUGCCUAUCAACUGUUUAAAAGAUGGUUCUGCUAUCACUCUUGGAUGGACCUGCGGUGCAUUAGCUAGUUGGUAGGGUAACGGCCUACCAAGGCGAUGAUGCAUAGCCGAGUUGAGAGACUGAUCGGCCACAUUGGGACUGAGACACGGCCCAAACUCCUACGGGAGGCAGCAGUAGGGAAUCUUCCACAAUGGACGCAAGUCUGAUGGAGCAACGCCGCGUGAGUGAAGAAGGGCUUCGGCUCGUAAAGCUCUGUUGUUGGUGAAGAAGGACAGGGGUAGUAACUGACCUUUGUUUGACGGUAAUCAAUUAGAAAGUCACGGCUAACUACGUGCCAGCAGCCGCGGUAAUACGUAGGUGGCAAGCGUUGUCCGGAUUUAUUGGGCGUAAAGCGAGUGCAGGCGGCUCGAUAAGUCUGAUGUGAAAGCCUUCGGCUCAACCGGAGAAUUGCAUCAGAAACUGUCGAGCUUGAGUACAGAAGAGGAGAGUGGAACUCCAUGUGUAGCGGUGAAAUGCGUAGAUAUAUGGAAGAACACCGGUGGCGAAGGCGGCUCUCUGGUCUGUUACUGACGCUGAGGCUCGAAAGCAUGGGUAGCGAACAGGAUUAGAUACCCUGGUAGUCCAUGCCGUAAACGAUGAGUGCUAAGUGUUGGGAGGUUUCCGCCUCUCAGUGCUGCAGCUAACGCAUUAAGCACUCCG
rnacentral:rRNA from 1 species